CGGCAUGUAGCUCAGUGGUAGAGCAGUCGGCUAAUAGCUGAUUGGUCGUGGGUUCGAUCCCCAACCUUGCCGA
rnacentral:tRNA from 1 species